GCCUACCAUGCAAGUCGAGCGGAAACGACACUAACAAUCCUUCGGGUGCGUUAAUGGGCGUCGAGCGGCGGACGGGUGAGUAAUGCCUAGGAAAUUGCCUUGAUGUGGGGGAUAACCAUUGGAAACGAUGGCUAAUACCGCAUAAUGCCUACGGGCCAAAGAGGGGGACCUUCGGGCCUCUCGCGUCAAGAUAUGCCUAGGUGGGAUUAGCUAGUUGGUGAGGUAAUGGCUCACCAAGGCGACGAUCCCUAGCUGGUCUGAGAGGAUGAUCAGCCACACUGGAACUGAGACACGGUCCAGACUCCUACGGGAGGCAGCAGUGGGGAAUAUUGCACAAUGGGCGAAAGCCUGAUGCAGCCAUGCCGCGUGUAUGAAGAAGGCCUUCGGGUUGUAAAGUACUUUCAGUUGUGAGGAAGGGGGUAGCGUUAAUAGCGCUAUCUCUUGACGUUAGCAACAGAAGAAGCACCGGCUAACUCCGUGCCAGCAGCCCGCGGUAAUAC
rnacentral:rRNA from 2 species